rnacentral:misc_RNA from 1 species
GGAUCACAGGACAAGUAGAGAUUUUUAACCAAAACAGCUUUGCUUCCUUCUGGUACUUUGAGCUUAGUGGAAGUAGUGGUCACGUACAUGUCUGACUCGUUAGGAAAACCACUCACAUAGUCCUUGAAUAUCACCUGCUUGUUGCUCACUGCCCCUCCCUCACUCGCCAUCUCUUCUCUUCUCCUUCGCUGGGUUAAGUCACUGAUAUUCUCUCCAAUCUCUGCUAUGAGUAAUCUAUGCCUUUAAAGUUGUAUUAUAUAUAUUUAUAAC